rfam:Gossypium arboreum cultivar AKA8401 contig_69711_5, whole genome shotgun sequence.
AAUCCACGGGGAGGACACCUUCUCCAUAAAUCUUUAUACCUCUCCCAUGCAUCAUAUAGAGUCUUUAAAUCCAUUUGCACUGAGAAAGAGAUAUCAUUCCUUAGCUU